CGGUGGAUGCCCUGGCAGUCAGAGGCGAUGAAGGACGUGCUAAUCUGCGAUAAGCGUCGGUAAGGUGAUAUGAACCGUUAUAACCGGCGAUUUCCGAAUGGGGAAACCCAGUGUGUUUCGACACACUAUCAUUAACUGAAUCCAUAGGUUAAUGAGGCGAACCGGGGGAACUGAAACAUCUAAGUACCCCGAGGAAAAGAAAUCAACCGAGAUUCCCCCAGUAGCGGCGAGCGAACGGGGAGCAGCCCAGAGCCUGAAUCAGUGUGUGUGUUAGUGGAAGCGUCUGGAAAGGCGCGCGAUACAGGGUGACAGCCCCGUACACAAAAAUGCACAUGCUGUGAGCUCGAUGAGUAGGGCGGGACACGUGGUAUCCUGUCUGAAUAUGGGGGGACCAUCCUCCAAGGCUAAA
rnacentral:rRNA from 1 species